UUCUGGAAUAAUUCUUAGAGAGAAAGGC
rnacentral:piRNA from 1 species